AAAAAUGCUCAAAUGAUUUUUAAAUUGCUGUGGUAUUUUGACUAUACAAAGGUAUUGUAAUAAGAUUUUAAUUGAAUGCUAAGAGAAUGAAUAUACAGAAAUUAACUUUUUUGGUCUUAAUUAUUGAAGUUAUUUUUAUUUGUGAAGAAACAAUAAUUUAAAUUAUGGACAAGAAGACCCUAAGAAUUUUACAAAAUUAAUUAUUCCGUAUGAAUUAAUAAAUUUUUUUAGUUGGGGCGAUUAAUUAAAAUUACAAACUUUUUUAGUUUAAAAAAAGAACCGUUAAUAACGGCCGGUUGGAAAAAAUACUCUAGGGAUAACAGCGUAAUAAUUUUUGAUAGCUCAUAUUGACAAAAUAGUUUGCGACCUCGAUGUUGGAUUAGGAUAUUUUUUUAAUGAAGAAGUUAAAAUAAAAAGUUUGUUCAACUUUUAAACUCCUACUUGAUCUGA
rnacentral:rRNA from 1 species